AUUGCAGACUCCUCCCAGUGCGCAGGCUGGUCAGAGGUUUUCCCGGGACGCGUUUUUACUUGGCUGUCUCACAAACAUGCCUACCGUACACUGAGCCUUGGAGGAGAUAAAGAAGACACCCACAGCCCUAAGAAAAAAGAAACACCAAAGCAAUUCUAAUAUAAAGUUUAGAAACAUUUCUGAAUAUUGAAAUAUUGAACUUCUCAUCACCCCACUGGAUUGUACAUUCUUGGAAGACAGUGUGUCCAGAAUUAGUGGGUUCUUGGUCUCACUGACUUCAAGAAUGAAGCCGCGGACCCUCACGAUCCAGGGGACAUGGCAAAAAGAACCUGAAUUCAUCAUGAGGAAGGAACCCAUCACAAGGAAGCAACCUAUGAAGGCAGCCAUUAGGCAAGGGACAUCUGAGAUGGGCACUGCAAGCAUGUUCAAGAAAACACCUCUUCUGCCAGCUAGAGGCUCCCCCGCCCAGUGGAGGAGGAAUCAAAUUCCACCAUCUUUAAUCUGGCUACACCAUAUUUGAAUAAUAAUCCUGAAAUUCACAUUGAUGCUCAAGAAGUCGCUUCUUCAAAACUUUAAGGUUUUAUAAAGAUGAAUUUCCAGUGCUCUGAAAUACCAUGGAUUAGUAGUUAAGCCUGACAGCACUUCGGGGAGUAGCGAGCUUAAAGUGCCUCACACAGGUCUCCAAAGCACUUGUUUACUAAUAGAGGAAAUCAGCAACCGUCUGCAGCUGCUGAUAUCGCAUUACCAUUUGGAAAGACAGUAGCUGAGAUAACAAAUCACACAGUUUUAAUAAUUACUCCUGCAUUCCCGUUUUUUGUUUCCUGCAUAACUGUAAAGGCUGGAUUUCUUCCAAAUAAACAGAUAAAAAC
ensembl:lncRNA novel transcript